AUCUCUGCGUGACUUCCGCCAGCGUUUAGAGCGUUUUCGGGGUCCGAGUUGAAGAGCAAAACCAAGUGAAGGAAACUUCACUAAGUUCAGGGUGACAAGGGAGGAAGUACAGAGACUGCACUUUAAAUUCUGGAUGACAGACCUAUCAGGACUGAGUGGACCUUUGAGUGACAAGAUGGGGGUGUUCCAAAGAGACCAUGGCAGCCUGCAGCUAGGACUUUAAUUGAACUAUUGGCAUGGCUCAAUCCAUUGACCUGUUUUGGUUCCUGAUGAAGUUUUGUUAAUUUAAAUGAGAAAAAUAAGGACAGUGAAAAACAGAGCGCUUAAAAAGCACUGUCUGGAUAUCUUCAGAGGGAAAAAGGAGAAAGUUAACUGAAUUGGUGACACUUCGGGUCUCUCACAGAGGAAGAUUAGAUGAAGGUGACCUUCCCCUUCGCCAAGCAGAAUCUCCCAUGAGACUCAUGAAUCCUCUUGAGGCCAAUUACAGCUAUCACUUGUUAACUGUUGGAGUACUUUCAGUCUUAAAAGAGCUGCUAGAAAAUU
rnacentral:lncRNA from 10 species